rnacentral:tRNA from 1 species
GCCCGGAUGGCGGAAUUGGUAGACGCGCUGGUCUCAAACACCAGUGGUAGCAAUAUCGUGCCGGUUCGACCCCGGCUCCGGGUACAA